GAUUCUGAAUCCUGCUCAGGAUUCUUACUCCUACUCAGCUGACCUGGUCCUGUGAGGUUUUCACCAGUCCUGAGGCUCUGGAGCACCUUUUCAAUACCGCAGGUGGGUGCUGGUGGCUGUUCCUGCUGUGUUCUGUUUGCACACAAACCUCGGUGCUCCCUUGACGUGAAGCACUCGCUGCAGCUCUUCCUGGGACUCUGGCUCACGUGUGGCUGUUUGUGGGAGCGUGUCCAAGGCAAACGGAGCGUCAGGAGCUCAGUGCAUCGUUUAUUUUGGGACACAGCGUGGCCACAGCACGGCACAGGCACAGACUCGCUGUUGACAUCACCACACACAGGCACGGUGUGCUGGCAUGUCGUCACCUGGCAGGGCGCAGAGAGCACCGUGAGCACACUGAUGACUCCCUUGUGGAUCAUCUCAGCCUCUGAGCCCUUAACCCUUGGCCUCCCCUGGCAAAAUCCUUCCAGCAUGGAAAAGGAACAAAAAUACACAUUUGUGACUUGGUCUGAAAGCUUUUAAGUGUAAAGAAUGAUCGUAGAACCCUUUAGGUUGGAGAAGACCUUUAAGAUCAACUCCAACCACAGUGCUAGGUGUAAAGAGUCUU
rnacentral:lncRNA from 12 species